UACAGAGGGUGCAAGCGUUAAUCGGAAUUACUGGGCGUAAAGCGUGCGUAGACGGUAGCGUAAGUCGGGUGUGAAAGCCCCGGGCUCAACCUGGGAAUGGCAUUCGAGACUGCUCUGCUAGGGUGCGGAAGAGGGGAGCGGAAUUUCCGGUGUAGCGGUGAAAUGCGUAGAUAUCGGAAGGAACACCAGUGGCGAAAGCGGCUUCCUGGUCCAGCACCGACGUCAGGCACGAAAGCGUGGGGGAGCAAACAGG
rnacentral:rRNA from 1 species